GGGGGCGGCUGAUGUCUUCGGGAACGUCCUCUUUUUUUAAUGUUCAGAUAUGACAACCCUAUCUAAGACACAAUACCAAGAUGACAAACUAAAUGGCGUCCAAACUGUAACCUUCCCGAGGAUACAAAGACGAUUACAGUUGUUAGUUCUACCUGUGUUCCUCUAACAUUAUCACCACCACAGGUGUUACUUCCACCAACACCUGUAUUCCUCUAAGAUUAUUCCGUCUUCCACAAUAACGUCUACAGGUGUUCACUCCUUCCCACAGUUGUCAACAGAAUAUCGUCUGCCAGUCACCGAGUGCCAAGCUUGGAGUCGCCUGCGAAGUAUUUAACCUGGAAGACUGUGACAAUGAACGACUCAUCAUAUCCUACGACACCACUUCCUCCACACUCUGCGGGAAUGUUAAACCUAACGGCGUCUUCCCCACCAACGCGAUGAAACUCGAAUUCAUAACCAAAGGCGUGAAUGACUCCACUGGGUACAAUUGUUCCAUCACGUGCCUAAGAUAACAAACCAAUGACCAACUACAACAAGUAGUGUGAGAAGCAGUUGCCUCUCUCUUACCUGCACCACGACUACCAGGACCACUAUGAGGAAUUCCUUGGGAUUUGUUCAUCUGAAGGAGUGACAUGCUAGUGUUCCAGGCUUCACUAACCCCCGGACCCGGAAACCUGACCAAACCUUCCUAUGUCAGCCUGGCCUAAUGUAACCUGUCCCUUAAUGACCUAACCCACCUAUCCCCAGCAAACCCUAAAUUUAUCACCUCGAACAUGACCCAAUGUAACCUAACCAAUACAGCACUUUAUAGAGACAUGUCAUCACUACUUGUGUAAGACUUUAUCAAGACAUUAUAUAUUAUCUAUUAAUCAUUUAGAGAAUAUUGGCAGAAUAUAAUAAAAUAUUGCACAGCAAA